UCUGAGUCUCGUUGGGGGUGAAGGUGCGAGACAGAAGCUCCUCUCGCUGUCUCUCCUGCUGCUCCCUUGUGUAUCGCCGAUGCUGGAAGUUUCUGAGAGCAGUCUACAGGUGCUGGA